rfam:Rhodospirillum rubrum ATCC 11170, complete genome.
GGGGCCGUAGCUCAGUUGGGAGAGCGCAGCAAUCGCACUGCUGAGGUCAGGGGUUCGAUUCCCCUCGGCUCCA